UUUUUUUUUUUUUUUUUUUUUUUUUUUUUUUUUUUUUUUUUUUUUUUUUCACAACAAAAAAUAUAUCUCAUUAUCAAUUAUUGCCUAAUUCUGUUAAAUAUGAAAAAUAGAAAGUCUGGUCGAGGCAUCAGAA
rnacentral:ribozyme from 12 species